CCUGGAUGUGAUUGAAUAUUCGAAAAUGAUUUGAUUGACCUGAGAAGUCUUUCUGUGAUCAAAUGGUGCCAAGGGGCGGCUCUCAAACCCAAACCCUAGCCUCCUUCAACACUGCAACAAAGGGUUACCUCCUCUCCCCCGCCUCUCUUCUCCUCUUCUCCCUUACCCCUCUUCUUUUAUCCUCUUCCCUUUCAACCCUUCUCUCUUAUCUAGUGCUUGGGUUGGCUUUGUUUGAGCGUGAGUUGUUUGGUGUUGAAUAAGCGCAUCAACUCUUUUGAGUUUGAUGCGUGUUUGUGGUUUUUUUUGUGGUUUUCAUUGUGGGUGUUAUACUUGGUUUUUCAAGACAAACGUUUAUGCUGGAUUGUUGUGUGACUUUGAGUGGCGAUAAACUACAUGAGUUUGAUGUUGUCGGUGGAUUUCUCCAUAUUAAUUAUAACUCCUUUGUAGAUAAUUAUAGUGCCCUUUGUAAUUAUUGUAUUUGUCUUAUGAUUGGGGCGUAAUUUAUAAAUGCAAUCUCCUUAUCUUUUGUGGGUUUGUUGAAUGAUAUUUCUUGAUUGCUUAAUAGAAGCACUAAAACAAAGGAUAAUAAUCUGGUUUACAUGAUGCAGGUAGCUAAUAGAAAGUAAGCUUAAAAAGCUCAUGAGCUGCCCUGUGGGCCUAUGCCCAAAUUUGUCCAUUUCAGGCCAUAUUACCAUACACAGAUAUAGGCAUGAGGAAAAUCAUACUAUUGAAGAAGUUGUUCCAAUGACACAACAUAUUUAGAAAGCAUGUGUGUGAAUGUGAGGAGAGGGAGGAGUAAGCUUUUGAGUAAUUUCCCCAACUGAUGAACCAUGCUUCGUCACAAAUAGAGCAAGUUCAACUGAAACUGAAUCAUGAAGAUCUAUGUUUUUAUUUUUUCCUAAAUUGAGUUUAGGCAUGAUGUACUAUUAACAUUCUUGGAGAGGGUUUUGUUUGCCAUGGGUGACCUUACUUUUCUUGAUGAAGUUGUUGUUCAAAUACAAAUAUCUAAGCAGACCUUACCUUACCACAAUUAUUUAAAGAGCUCCAUAACAUGCCAUGUUUCUUCUCUGUAUAUUUAAAUUCAAAACCAAAAAGUUCAUGGAUAUUCAUGUGAUCAACAUUCCUGAAAUUAAGGAACCAUCAAUUUCUUAUUAAAUUUCUUUUUGUCCUGUG
rnacentral:lncRNA from 1 species